AACGUAGGAGGCGAGCGUUAUCCGGAUUUACUGGGUGUAAAGCGCAUGCAGGCGGUUCGCUAAGUUGGAUGUGAAAGCUCCUGGCUUAACUGGGAGAGGUCGUUCAAGACUGACGAACUAGAGGAUGGUAAGGGAAAGCGGAAUUCCGGGUGUAGUGGUGAAAUGCGUAGAUAUCCGGAGGAACACCAGUGGCGAAGGCGGCUUUCUGGACCAUGACUGACGCUCAGAUGCGAAAGCUAGGGUAGCAAACGGG
rnacentral:rRNA from 1 species